GAAGAUCACACCAUCCCUCACCAUCAUCAGGAUGAGGAACUGAAAGACAUCAAAGCUGAGAUUAAAGAGGAAGAAGAAGAGAUGUCGAUGAGUGGAGCUCAGCAGUCUAUGGGAGGGGGAGGUCCUCUGUAUUCCCGGGAUUCCACACAGGAAGAUCACACCAUCCCCCACCAUUACAAGUGUGAAGAUCUGAUAGAUAUAAAAGUUGAGGUUAAAGAAGAAGAGACGUAUGUGAGGGAUGAUCAGCAGUCUAUGGAGGAGGAUGGAAUAACGGGGA